CACUUUCACUUGACACAUAAAUUGAGUUAAAAGGAAAAUGCCAAAUUGAAUUUUAUUUACGUUGAACAUUCACGCUCGAUUUCACACUCCCCACAAGUUCCAAACCGAGAUAAAUCCCGUGGAAAAAAAAAAUAUGUAUUGUAUAAAAUGAAAGAAAGGCAAACUGCUAGGCUGCCACACGUGUGUGUGUGUGUGUGUGUGAUUUGGUGGGGGCUGCCAGUAGCAGGGAUCCUUAAAGAGAAGCAAAAUUAAAUUUACAUGAGGCCAAGAGCUACCCAAGUAGGCCGCCCCUCCCUUCUAUCCGAAGCCCAUGCAGAUCCCUGCUUUGUUAUGCCAAGACAUUGUCGUCAUCAAAUUAUGGGGCAUGUAAAAAUAGUUGCCAUCCUCGGCCAUAUUGUUCGGCAUUAUGUAAAUCUGUUUUUCUAUGGAGCCUUCGCUCGGUCGCCCAUCCAGCCAGCCACCAGCGCCCAGACGACACUCAUUUAAUUGCUGAGAGCAAAGGGGCAGGAACAGGUGGCAAGAAGAGUUUACGACUGGCAUUACACGACUGGUGUUAACGAUGACAAUGAGCGUGGCAGAUUCGAGGUCCCCGACAACACACUUUGCCAUAGUGUGCUUGCCGGGACCCAUGGGAGGACGGACGCCAGGGACCCCGCACUCGGCACUUCAUAAAUAAUCAGAUUUCUGCGAAGAUGAACCCCUGACUGGGACGUUUAUUGAACUCAAUCUCUUGACAUUUGCCCAAAACUUAAAGCAAAGUUUUCCAUUUAAUGGCUUUGCUUCCCUUAGGACUCCUAUUUUUGUUCUUUUAUGUACUCGUAUUUAUAUUUACUCGUACAUAUAUGUACGUACGUAUCCUCUUAAGCCAGAGCCAAAGUCUGACAAAUCCAUGAAGGAGCUUUACCCCGGGCAUGGCAUGACCCCAGCAGACUCAUGACAUUAGACCGGAUUUUUGUUGGCUCCGAGCGCGACUCGGCGACUCUUUAAAUAGAGCAGCCUGUCAGCCAGUCAGUACGGCUCGCGGAAGGGGUGUUCCUGAAAGGGUUCACUUUUACAGGCGAAUUAAAGGGAGUUCCACCAGAAAUCGAGGCCAGAAUCCCAUCUAUCAAAAGUAAUGAAAUAUUCACAAGGUUUUGGCUAUUCUUGGAGUAACUUUCAUUAGUUCCUUGAGCCCAGAAAUGUUGUAGGUACUCUUUAAUAAAUUAAUCUC